CAACGUUUUUUUAUCAAUAUUGCGAUUUAGUUUUUGUGUCCAUAUGCUCUCCAGACUGUGUUCUCAGAGGUGGUUGGAGGGAAAAGACAAAAGCAAUAUAAUGAAGCAGACAGACUGAAGAACAAAAAGAACAGAAAAUCAGGAAAAGGUGAGGAGUUUUACAUCCCAUACAGACCCAAAGACUUCAACUCAGAGCGCGGGCUCAGUCUCGGCGGUGACGGCGGAUCUUUUGAGCAGCAGGCCUCUUCUGCGGUUCUGGAUCUGAUGGGAGACGAGAGCAACACUUUAAACCAGCACAAGAACCUGAUGAAAUGGGAUCGCAAGAGGAAACGCUUCGUCCAUGACAUGGGCAAAGAGGACAAAAACAAGAAAAUCAAAACAGAAAGUGGACAGGUGAUCAGUGGCAAAAAGAAGAAGAAGAGCUUGUAUCCUUUAUUUAUAUAGCACUUUUCAUAACAUUGUUUAAAAAAGCAGCUUUACAAAAACUCAUGAUGUUAAUUUACAAAUAUUGCUGAAUGAAUGCUGUCUUUAUGAAUGGCCCCAUACUGCAUCUUUAAAGUCAGUGUGAUCGUGAGCAGCUAUCUAUGGUGAAUGGAUUGGAGGGUGAAAAGUGUCUCUUAGGCCGCGUUUACACUUGGCAUUAACAUGCGACCUGUAUCCGGA